UGUAAACAAAGAUUGUACCCAUCAAAAUGCCAUCAAAAGGAGUUAAAUCCUUUAGAACCCGACAAGAUAAACAGAAAAUGAUAGAAAGACUGAAGAAAAAGACCCAUUGUAAACAUUUUUUAUCGUAUAUCAAUAAUGUAUUACCUAGCUGCCUGGCUGUCCAGUCAGUCCGAAGUGAUUGGUUCCAUACAUCCUUGCCCCCCC
rnacentral:lncRNA from 1 species